rnacentral:rRNA from 1 species
GACAGAGGGUGCAAACGUUGUUCGGAUUUACUGGGCGUAAAGCGCGUGUAGGCGGCUUGGCAAGUUGGAUGUGAAAGCCCACGGCUCAACCGCGGAAGAGCAUCCAAAACUGCUUCGCUCGAGUCUCGGAGAGGAAGGUGGAAUGCUUGGUGUAGAGGUUAAAUUCGUAGAUAUCAAGCAGAACACCUGCGGCGAAGGCGGCUCGCUGGCUCGAUACUGACGCUGAGGUGCGAAAGCGUGGGGAGCAAACAGG